GAAAGUGCCGGGGUUUAAGUGCUUACGGCUCUGCUGUAGGCUUUUUUUAAUCGUAAAUAGAUUGGAGAAUAAGUGGUGGGUAAGACUGGUGCCAGCCGCCGCGGUAACCCCAGCGCCACGAGUGGUCAUCGCGAUUAUUGGGCCUAAAGCGUUCGUAGCCGGUUUGGUGCAUCUCUUGUGAAAUUGUGCUGCUUAACAGUACAGCGUGCAGGGGACACGGCCAGACUCGAGACCGGGAGGCGUGUGAAGUAUUCUAUGGGGACUGGUAAAAUGGGAUAAUCCAUGGAAGACUACCGAUGGCGAAGGCAUCACACGAGAACGGAUCUGACGGUGAGGAACGAAAGCUAGGGGAGCGAACCGGAUUAGAUACCCGAGUAGUCCUAGCCGUAAACGCUGUGAGCUAGGUGUCGCGCAUCUCACGAAGAUGCGCGGUGUCGAAAUGAAGAUGCUAAGCUCACCGCCUGGGAAGUACGGUCGCAAGACUGAAACUUUAAGGAAUUGGCGGGGGCGCACUACAAGGGGUGCGGCGUGCGGUUUAAUCCAACUCAACGCGGAGCACCUUACUAGGAGCGACGGCAGGAUGAAGAUCGCGCUGAAGACGCUAUCAGACGAGCCGAGAGGUAGUGCAUGGCCGCCGUCAGCUCGUGCCGUGAGGUGUCCUGUUAAGUCAGGUAACGAGCAAGACCUGCAUCCACAAUUGCUAACGAACUCUGUGAUCGAGCACAUUGUUGGAGACUGCCCGUGUAAACGGGAGGAAGGUGCAGGCACGGUAGGUCUGUAUGCUCCGAAUCUCUAGUACACGCGCGCAACCAUGGUACAGACAAUUGGAACGCAACUCCGAAGGAGGACCAUCCUUAAACUCUACCUGUUCAGAUCGAGCUACACCCAGCCUCGUACGUCGGAUCCCUAUAUCAGCG
rnacentral:rRNA from 1 species